UUGUCAUUUUAUCACCGAAACUUUUAAGGGAUUUUUUUCUUUUUUUUUUUUUUUUUGCGGCGAGAAAGACUCUCUUUAUUGGCUCCGCCUGCAAGUUUUGUGUCCUGAAAGAUGGCAAAGUAAUUGUAGUAUUAAACGUCGGAGUCGUAUUGCUUUAAGACCCUCGAAUAGGUGCUGAAACUGUUAACUUACAAAAGCCAUUAAGGUCGUUGUUGGUGUUUGGAUAAAGCAAAUACCGUUUCGAGAUUUUUCUAUGUCCUUACAAGAAUCUUUUUUUUCAAAUGCAAUUUUUAUUGCGCUUCCACGCCGCUCUCUUGCAAAACUUAGGCAAGUACAUCACUGACGUUAUUUUGCAAUUAGAAAUACUUGAUAUUUUCAAGGAUUUUACUUGGAAAAGUCUUCAUUCUUAUCGCCGGAAUCUAAUUGCUGAAGAGUCCUCUCGUUCGUUUGUAAAAAAAAAAAAAACGUUAAAAAAUCGAAAUUUGUUAAUAAAAUUAUAAAAAUUUUUCUCGGAAACAAUCUAGAGAAACGCAGUUACAAUAAAGAAGAUAAAAAAAACAGUGCAUCUUCAUAAACUUUCCAUUCACCGGCAAAAAUGGAUAAAAAGAAAGAAGAAGAAAAUAAAAGAAGCAAUUUGAUAAAGCAAAGCCCGAAGUUGUGCUGUCGGGCUUUGCUCUAUCAAAUUGCUCUAUUAAACUAUUGAUCAACUGUUUGCCCUAAAAAAUACUAGACUCUAAGCAAGGCUAUCUGUUCAUAAAUGUCACUGUAGUUGGCGAUUUCCGUGACUACACUCAUCAACUCUAUCGGAGAAGCUAGACAAAGAUAGAAAUCCCAUUUAUUACUUAUCUUCCAUUACAAUUAACUUAUUUUAAUUUUCGUUUUGGGUAGAAUAUUAAAGUCGAAAGACUUAAAUCGUCGUCAGAAUACGCGAUUUAACUGUAGCAUUUAAAGACCUGGACUAUUAUUAGGAAAAUUUACGUUUGUUCAAUACUACGAAUCGCUCAUUAUCGGAAGUAUUCACUGUAAGCCUUUAAUCAAUGACCCUUUUUAUCGAUCAGAUCUUUAUUCUAUCGUCAAGCCUUUAACUCCAUUGUCAAGAACUUCAAAGGCACUCGUGCAGGCAGUCUGCUUUUCGAAGGAAAAAAAAAAACCUCUCGACAAUGGGCGAAGAAAUGGAGACUAUUAACAACGUCCGCAACGCGUGCUAUUACAGUAACAAACCGAAAUCAACACGUACCCAGAAGAUUAAAUUUUACCGCAACCGUAAUAACAGCAGUCUAAUUAAUUAAAACGGUCUAAUUGUUCGCUCGACAGCAAGGUUUUCCUGUCUGCUUUAAAACAUCGCUAGCAAAGGAUUUUAUUUUGUAGAAGUAUAUGUUUAAUGAGGUAUAAUUCAUCAUAAAAAUGUGACACAUUGUGCAAACCUAUAAAAGUGCGACUAAGGCUUUCUCCGAUCAUUGGAAAGAGGUGGAUCAAUAACUUUUGCAAGACCUCGAAGGGAACCGAAACUAAUUGCCCUGUGUAAGCAAGGUAAAAGAAACGUAGAUCUUUUGCAAUUUUUCGAAAUUUUUCUUGUAUUCUCUAAGCGAAUCUCCUCUUCAAACCGUUUUAAGAUGCCGCCCACACACUAACAGGAGCAAACAAAAAAUAAAAAUUUAUUUAAAUAAUGUAUAGCUUCGUAUCUUUGCGAAAAUUAUUAAAUCGCAUACGAGAGAAAGAAAACUUGCAAAAAAAAUUUUUUUUUCUAUAAGUUUCUUGUAUUUUCUAAGCGUAUUGACGUAAGCAGUGUCUCCUUCUCAGAUUGCUUAAGAUAGAAUGCUGCCAAUACACUAACUGUCAGGAGUAAAUUAAUGUAUUUAAAUAAAAUAAAACUUUGUAUCUUCGUAAAAAUCGUUAACGCGCUUAACUGAGAGAAAGAAAACACGAUAAAGUAACUCAGAUCUUUUGCAAGUUUUCGAAAUUUUCUUAUACUUCCUUGCGUAUCGACUCCUCAGAGUUUUCUUAAAUUAGAUUGCUACCAACGCACUAAACAGGAAUAAAAAUUAUUUAAAAUAAAGUAUAAUUUUGUAUCUUCAUGAAAAUUAUUAACUUGUUUGCAAGAGAGAGAGAGAAACAAAAAUUUUAACGCGAUUUUUAAUUAUUAUCCAAAUUGGUAUAUAACCGCUCGAAUUUUGGAAAGGAUCCAACAGCGCUGCAAUUUUAAGAUACGCUGCAAUAGAAAUUCGUAUAUAGUUACAAAAUUUUGAAUUUAUGUAGACUAUUAAAUUUAUUAAAGAGGGGGGUAAAAAAAAGAAAGAAAAUUAAGAGACGUUCCGUUUCAGAAAACAUCAUCGUAAUGGUUAAUUUUUGUCACUUCUUAAUAGAAACUUUCUCUUAAAUAUGUUCCACUCUGUAAGUAGAACAUAUUUAAAGUUACAGUUUUGCUCGCAGAAAUCCUUGAAAGUAAUAAUUAUUUAAAAAAUAUAUAUAACUAGCCUGUUAAAUAAUUUCGUUUUUAAUAUAAUAUAAUCGCCAUUUUUAUAUAUAUGAAACCUAGUAAGAGUUUACUAGGUUUGAUACUGGUACGCAUUAAAAUAAUUUAAAAAAUUUCGAAAAUGUUAAUAAAAAAUCUACAGUUUUUUUUUUUUUUUUUGCCAAACUUAUUUUAUAAUGUUAGUACACGAGUUUGUAUGGGGAAAAAAAAACUGCAA
rnacentral:lncRNA from 1 species